rnacentral:rRNA from 1 species
UACGGGGGGGGCAAGCGUUGUUCGGAAUUACUGGGCGUAAAGGGCUCGUAGGCGGCCAACUAAGUCAGACGUGAAAUCCCUCGGCUUAACCGGGGAACUGCGUCUGAUACUGGAUGGCUAGAGGUUGGGAGAGGGAUGCGGAAUUCCAGGUGUAGCGGUGAAAUGCGUAGAUAUCGGGAGGAACACCGGUGGCGAAGGCGGCGUCCUGGACCAAUAUUGACGCUGAGGAGCGAAAGCCAGGGGAGCAAACGGG